rnacentral:rRNA from 1 species
GUGGGGAAUUUUGGACAAUGGGCGCAAGCCUGAUCCAGCAAUGCCGCGUGCAGGAAGAAGGCCUUCGGGUUGUAAACUGCUUUUGUACGGAACGAAAAGGCUCUGGUUAAUACCUGGGGCUCAUGACGGUACCGUAAGAAUAAGCACCGGCUAACUACGUGCCAGCAGCCGCGGUAAUACGUAGGGUGCAAGCGUUAAUCGGAAUUACUGGGCGUAAAGCGUGCGCAGACGGUUUUGUAAGACAGGCGUGAAAUCCCCGGGCUCAACCUGGGAAUGGCGCUUGUGACUGCAAGGCUGGAGUGCGGCAGAGGGGGAUGGAAUUCCGCGUGUAGCAGUGAAAUGCGUAGAUAUGCGGAGGAACACCGAUGGCGAAGGCAAUCCCCUGGGCCUGCACUGACGCUCAUGCACGAAAGCGUGGGGAGCAAACAGGAUUAGAAACCCGUGUAGUCC